rnacentral:rRNA from 1 species
GACAGAGGGUGCAAACGUUGUUCGGAAUUACUGGGCGUAAAGGGCGCGUAGGCGGCCGAUCAAGUUAGAUGUGAAAGUCCUGGGCUUAACCUGGGGACUGCAUUUGAUACUGAUUGGCUUGAAUUCGGGAGAGGAUAGCGGAAUUCCCAGUGUAGAGGUGAAAUUCGUAGAUAUUGGGAAGAACACCGGUGGCGAAGGCGGCUAUCUGGACCGACAUUGACGCUGAGGCGCGAAAGCGUGGGGAGCAAACAGG